AUGGAACAUGUGCAAAAGAUGUUUUUGGUGCCCCAACAUCAGUUGGACUUAUUGAAGCAACCGCUACAGCACACAGGCAACAUCAGACAACAGGCUCAGAAUGACUUGGACAAGGAAAUGCUUCAGGUGUUGCAAGAAUCAGACAUAGAUGUGUAUGAGAAAGCUAAAAAAUACAGCGAUAUUCUCCAAAGAUACCUAGCACUUGUGAGACAAGGGGCACGUGGAAAGAGUGUAUUGUCUUUAUCCCUACCGGAGCAGCUUAACACAGAGGUGCAAACCCCUCCUGCGGACACCCCUCUUGCUUAUGGCGCUGAAGGUGUGAAGGAUUUUAUUGCAGAGAAUGUUUUGACACACAUAUCUAAAAGGAGUAGGAGGAAUGCAGAACUCAUUCUAUCAGCUCUGAACCGUUCGCCAAACACUAUUUCUUACAAUGACAAAGGCGAAAUUGUUGUUGAUAAACACACUAUACCGGGUUCACACAUUUAUGAUCUGAUCAAAGCUGUCACAUCCACACACACACCUUCUGAAGGUUUCAGACCUAUAGGUUGGACAGAGUUUUUAAAGGCUGUUUCAGAUUUAAACAUACCGUUAUCAGCCAUAUCCAAUGCCGGCGUACGUAAGACCCUUGCGUUGUAUAAAACAGAUCACACACUGCCUGAAGACACUUUUUUUAAACAUACGCCUAGAAAGAACACACCGGGCGUCUCGCUGCGUGAUAGUACAUUAAAGAAAAAAAUAAAGAAUAAAAAAAAUAAAUUAAAGGGGGGUCCUGUCGAGUGGUUGGAUUUUUGAAUUCAGACUAUUUCUUAUCACAGCUGUAAUGUUGUUGUUGUUUUUUCUGCCUAAAAUAUUGACUGUUUGUUGUUUUUUCUACCGUAAUUUUUCACUAACUGUUAGAUUGUUUUCUUUUAUUACAGUUUUUCUAUUAUUGUUUUUAUUAUUGUAUAAUGUUUGAUUUCUUUAUUACUUUAUUACUACAUUAUUACUACGUUGUUUUCUUUUAUUACAG
rnacentral:lncRNA from 1 species